rnacentral:rRNA from 1 species
UGUAAAACGAAUUUAAGUUCUACCUCAGCCCCUUCCCCAAGACAAACCAACCAAGUCCCCAUGCAAUGGGCUAAGAGCUAUUUAAAGGGGGUACAGCCCCUUUAAAAAAGGAUACAACCUCUACCAGUGGAUAACCCCACCCCUACCCAACCCCCGUGGGCCUUAAAGCAGCCACCCUUAAAGAACGCGUCAAAGCUCCACAAACCUAAAAAUCCAAAAACAACGUAAAUCCCUGAACCCAUAACAGGUCAACCUACAACAGUAGAUGAAUCAAUGCUAAAACGAGUAACCAGGACACCAAGUCCCCUAAAGCGCCAACUUGAACACCAUUAACAGCACAACCACAAUACCAAACCCCCGACUAAACAUUGAACACACCCUGUCAGACCAACCCAGGGGCGCACACUAGGAUGAUUAAAAUCUGCAGAAGGAACUCGGCAAGCCUAAGACCCGACUGUUUACCAAAAACAUAGCCUUCAGCCGAACAAGUAUUGAAGGUGACGCCUGCCCAGUGACACACGUUUAACGGGCGCG